rnacentral:rRNA from 1 species
GAUGAACGCUGGCGGCGUGCUUAACACAUGCAAGUCGAACGAAGCACUUUAACUUGAUUUCUUCGGAAAGAUUGUUAUUGUGACUGAGUGGCGGACGGGUGAGUAACGCGUGGGUAACCUGCCUCAUACAGGGGGAUAACAGUUGGAAACGACUGCUCAUACCGCAUAAGCGCACGGUAUCGCAUGAUACAGUGUGAAAAACUCCGGUGGUAUGAGAUGGACCCGCGUCUGAUUAGCUAGUUGGCGGAGUAACGGCCCACCAAGGCAACGAUCAGUAGCCGACCUGAGAGGGUGACCGGCAACAUUGGGACUGAGACACGGCCCAAACUCCUACGGGAGGCAGCAGUGGGGAAUAUUGCACAAUGGGCGAAAGCCUGAUGCAGCGACGCCGCGUGAACGAUGAAGUAUUUCGGUAUGUAAAGUUCUAUCAGCAGGGAAGAAGAAUGACGGUACCUGACUAAGAAGCACCGGCUAAAUACGUGCCAGCCGCCGCCGUAA